CCUACGGGAGGCUGCAGUGGGGAAUAUUGGGCAAUGGACGCAAGUCUGACCCAGCAACGCCGCGUGAAGGAAGAAGGCUUUCGGGUUGUAAACUUCUUUUAAGGGGGAAGAGCAGAAGACGGUACACCUUGAAUCAGCCACGGCUAACUACGUGCCAGCAUCCGCGGUAUUACGUAGGUGGUAAGCGUUGUCCGGAUUUACUGGGUGUAAAGGGCGUGUAGCCGGGGAGACAAGUCAGAUGUGAAAUCCACGGGCUCAACCCGUGGACUGCAUUUGAAACUGUUUCCCUUGAGUGUCGGAGAGGUAAGCGGAAUUCGUGGUGUAGCGGUGAAAUGCGUAGAUAUAAGGAAGAACACCAAUGGCGAAGGCGGAUUACUGGACGAUAACUGACGGUGAGGCGCGAAAGCGUGGGGAGCAAACAGGAUUAGAUACCCUGGUAGUC
rnacentral:rRNA from 1 species